rnacentral:rRNA from 1 species
GACGAACGCCGGCGGCGUGCUUAACACAUGCAAGUCGAACGGUAAGGCCCUUCGGGGUACACGAGUGGCGAACGGGUGAGUAACACGUGGGUGAUCUGCCCUGCACUUCGGGAUAAGCCUGGGAAACUGGGUCUAAUACCGGAUAGGACUCCGGCCUGCAUGGUCUGGGGUGGAAAGCUUUUGCGGUGUGGGAUGGGCCCGCGGCCCAUCGGCUUGUUGGUGGGGUGAUGGGCUACCAAGGCGACGACGGGUAGCCGGCCUGAGAGGGUGACCGGCCACACUGGGACUGAGAUACGGCCCAGACUCCUACGGGAGGCAGCAGUGGGGAAUAUUGCACAAUGGGCGCAAGCCUGAUGCAGCGACGCCGCGUGAGGGAUGACGGCCUUCGGGUUGUAAACCUCUUUCAGCAUCGACGAAGCGAAAGUGACGGUAGGUGCAGAAGAAGGACCGGCCAACUACGUGCCAGCCGCCGCCGUAA